rnacentral:lncRNA from 1 species
AGCAAGUAGAAUUCCAGCGAGAAGAAGAAGAAGGCAGCAAGAAGGGGGAAAGGGCCGGAGAGAAAGGGGGGAGAAAGCCAGAGAAGAAGUAGAAAUCAGGGAAAAGGGGAGAAGGAGGAAGCCAUAGGCAACAACCCAAGCAUUCUAUUCUUUAAUUCAUCAAUUCAUCAACUGUCUCAAAUACGCAACAAAACAGAAAUAAAUAACAAAACAAAAACCCUAAAGAGAAGGGCUUGAGCCAAACCCGCUAAACAAUCCCAAUAACAGAAAUAUAAAUAAUAAUGCAAAUAGAAUAUAACUAAUAGUCCAAAUAGAAAAUAAAUAGUAAAUGAAAGAAAAUAAAUAGUAAAUGGAUGUCCGCAUCAACUCUCCCGGGGUGGGAGAAAAACUCAACCUCGUCGAGUGGAUAAAUUAAAAUGUUGCAAUGAAUCUGAUGCUAAAGGCUCCAAGUCAUGCCAUGGGGGAAGAUCUUUCUGACGAACCAAAUAUCGAAAUUUCACAAAUGAUGACGACGCCAAUUGCAAAUUACCCGCAAAAACAUGAGCUGACCAAGAUAACUUAGGCGAAUGAGAAUUUUGCUGACUCUUAUAAAGCUCCAACGAAUUUGGCUCACGCCGCUGAAGUCUCUCUUU